UUGAUGGUCUCAGCAAAUGGAAUCGAAACUGGGAAUUGAUUUUCAAGCAAACCAAUUGGAAAGCUGCCAACCCAAACUAGGUCCAGGAUAAAAAUGAAAUUGCAAACUGAUAUUGAAUUCUUCAAGGAAGAGAAGGAUGAAUUUAUUUGUUCUCCGAUUUAUGAAGUUAAUGAAUCUCUUAAUGAACAAGUGAAGACAUCAACUGAGAACGAAAUAAUGGUUGCCAGGUACACUCAAGAGCUUCGGGAAGUUCGGCAAGAGCUAAUCAAGCAAAUGGAGUCAGAAAGGGCAACCCGAAAUGCGGUGGUGAUUGGAGUAAAGGGAAUGAAAGGAGAUCAAGUGCUCUGGAACUUUAAGGAGAAGAAGAGAGCCUUUGCCGGUAUACAUUUAGGUGGCCUAAGAUUUUCAGCUGGACAGUAAGAAUUUGGUAGUGUUUAAUUUUUGAGGUUUUUUUGGUACACUAGGGGGAGAUUGUAAAUGUGUGUGAAAGGGAACAAGUUGUAUUCACUCACCUACUUAAUGCUGUCCGCCCGAUUGCUAUGAAAACCAUAUCAGUAAAAGUAGCAGAACCAAGACAUCAUGUUGGAAGAAUUGCUUCAAAAGGAGAAGGAAUCUCUCCACAUAAGUCUAAAUAACGUGACAAGGAAAGGGGAUAUAGGAGUUGCUCUUCCAUUCAUAUGUAUGGGAGCAGGAGCCUCCAGGAAGGCUCAACUACCAAGCAAGGUGGUGGUAAAUGAUUCUCCCAGUUUUGAUUCCACGCUUAUAUAUGCAAGAUGUGAAAAAAAAUCCAAUCUGGAAGGAAGUGGUGAACAGGUGGAUUUUUCACCUAGGAAUUCGGGCCACAUCUUUCUUCAAGUUUAAGUUAAAUGCCCCAGCUGAUCCUUUAUAGACUGGGAUACAUAUGUGGAGGGAACCUCGAUCCAGCAUGGACUGGUGAAGAUAAGCCAGGGAGUAAUAUGAUACUGGAAGUAAAUGGUUCUGCACAUACUGAAGUGGCACCAGGUUCAUCGACUAAAGGCGAAACUGAAUUGGAGAGGUGAAAGUUGGAAAAGCAUGUCGAAGACCUGGGUAUGGCUGAGGUCACCAAAUCUAAUCACCUAGUAUUGCCCGUGAAAGUAGAAGAUAACUUAGACACAGCGCAUAGUAUCUUGGGAUCUCCUUCCCGAACUUCUACAGCUCUUACAACAAGAUUUCUUCUGGGAACACUUCAAAGCUUGAGCCCCUUAAUGACUAUAAUCCUGUUCAUGUCUGUCAUCAUUUUAUGAAAUAUCGCACUGCCAGGGAGGGUAUAGAUCUACUCUUCCUAUCGGUUCAAAUGAAACUACUGUGAUGUGUUGACAAGCCAAGAAGUAUCACAUGACACACUCCAGUCUCGAAAAGUUAUUACGUUCGGGUGUCUGAUGAGUGGGGGAGGCCCAAAGAUGCUACAGAAUCUUAUGUUCCUUUACGACUUUAUGAUUCAUUCAGUCUUCAGUCGUUUCAUUAUGUCGAUGAAACAACCUCUGAAUCUUUUAAUUCUUGAAUCUAUAAAUAGUAGCAUUUUAUCCAUGUCUGGGUCGCGAAGCUCUAUGAUUUCGAAUCCAUUCGUGUAGACAAAGGCGUUACACUGUUAUAGGGGCUUUUCCUGACGAUGGUCCACUUGGGAAGGUGAAGUAUUCUGUGACUUGUUACUGGGGAAAGGGGUUUGAACCCUUAAGGAGGACAUGUUGCCAUCUGAGCUAGAUUUCGCAGGGUCCCUUUGUCGUUGUAAGAAGUAGAGUGCUUAGGGUGGUAUGAGCAACGUCUUUUGGCCGAAUCGUUGGAUGAAAUAACCAAGACAGUACUGGAGUCAUUUAUCAAGUUUUCACCGGAUUAUAUUAAGUGUCCAUGUGAAUCGAUCUGUACAAUAAGCGCAACUUGCCUGGCAAUGAUGCUGGAGAUCUAUCAGGUUUUCCAUCGUGGUUGGCUUUUUUCAUGUUCAUUUCCUGCUCAUUCAUUGGGUUGCCGAUUCCAAGAAUUUCUUGGAGAGACCACCCUCGUGAUAUUUCAAUCCUCAAAACGUCAAAAGAGCUAGAGGUUUACUUGUUAGCUGUCUUGGAUGGAGGUAUCUUGGCGUUCUGCAUGACUACUUCUAUGGUUUCUGCAAAUAGAGAUACUUCUUCUUCCUCCGUCGCACCAGAACUUAUGGAGAGUGAAUCAUCGAGUGCCCAAAAUGGCGGGAGGACAACUUGGACCCCUCCAAUGGAUGAACUGUUGAUAGAACUUAUGGUAGAACAGGUGCUUAAGAAACAACU